GGAGAAGUGGCCGAGUGGUCGAAGGCGCACGACUGGAAAUCGUGUAUACGGUAAUCCCGUAUCGAGGGUUCGAAUCCCUCCUUCUCCG
rnacentral:tRNA from 1 species